CAGCCGCCACGGUAAUACGAAGGGUGCAAGCGUUACUCGGAAUUACUGGGCGUAAAGCGUGCGUAGGUGGUGGUUUAAGUCCGUUGUGAAAGCCCUGGGCUCAACCUGGGAAUUGCAGUGGAUACUGGGUCACUAGAGUGUGGUAGAGGAUAGUGGAAUUUCCGGUGUAGCAGUGAAAUGCGUAGAGAUCGGAAGGAACAUCUGUGGCGAAGGCGACUAUCUGGGCCAACACUGACACUGAGACACGAAAGCGUGGGGAGCAAACCGGAUUAGAGAUCCCUGUAGUCCCUGUCUCUUAUAC
rnacentral:rRNA from 1 species